ACGGGUGAGUAACGCAUGGGAACGUGCCUCUAAGCGGGGGAUAACUACGGGAAACUGUAGCUAAUACCGCAUAAUAUCGAGAGAUUAAAGGUGGCCUCUAUUUAUAAGCUACUACUUAGAGAUCGGCCCAUGUCCCAUUAGCUAGUUGGCGGGGUAACGGCCCACCAAGGCUACGAUGGGUAGCUGGUCUGAGAGGAUGAUCAGCCACACUGGAACUGAGACACGGUCCAGACUCCUACGGGAGGCAGCAGUGGGGAAUUUUGCACAAUGGAGGAAACUCUGAUGCAGCAACGCCGCGUGAGUGAUGAAGGCCCUUGGGUUGUAAAGCUCUUUCGGUUGGGAAGAAGGGUGGUAUGGCUAAUAUCUUUACCAUUUGACGGUACCAAAAUAAGAAGCACCUGCUAACUUCGUGCCAGCAGCAGCGGUAAUACGAAGGGUGCAAGCGUUGUUCGGAAUUACUGGGCGUAAAGGGCGCGUAGGCUGGUUUGUAAGUCUAAUGUGAAAUCCCCGGGCUUAACCCGGGACGUGCAUUGGAAACUGCAGAUCUUGAAUGCUUAAGAGGGUGGUAGAAUUCCAGGAGUAGAAGU
rnacentral:rRNA from 1 species